rnacentral:rRNA from 1 species
ACGUCUACAUUAGAUACCCGCGUAGUCCAGGGUGUAAACGCUGCAGACUUGGUGUUGGAAGUCCUUUGGGGGCAUUCAGUGCCGGAGAGAAGUUGUUAAGUCUGCUACUUGGGGAGUACGUCCGCAAGGAUGAAACUUAAAGGAAUUGGCGGGGGAGCACCGCAACGGGAGGAGCGUGCGGUUUAAUUGGAUUCAACACCGUAAACUCACCAGGGAAGACUGUUACAUGAAAGCCGAGAUGAAGACUCUGCUAGAUUUUCAG